GCAUUACCUAUGUUACUGGACCCCUCACAGCUUCUGCCCUCCGGCUCUAUCCACAGCAAGAAGGCUUUCUUCCAUUUCUUUCUUCCAUCAAAUAUUUGUGGAGCUGGAACUGGGCUUCACUAUCAUAUUCCAAGGCCCUGUACUGGGAACAGACAAAGAAGCUCCUCCCAGAGACUGGAAGAAUGGUACAAGGUGUGAAAACCAAGGCUUAAAGCAUGCAAGUUAUUUGCCCGAGGUUUUUCAGCCACAAAUGAAGAAGCUGGGUCUGCUCCACACCUGUGAACCAGGCUAUUUCCACCAUAACCUGAACUCAGAUGAGCACCAGCCCAUGGAGAAUAGUCCAGAAGGCUGCCCAUAGCCUUAAAGGACAGUCAGCCUCACAAAAUGAGUGUUAUAUUCUGGAUUAUCAGAAGAGAAAUGUGAGAUGCAGGCAGGUUGAGAAAAUUGCUCCAAGUCACUUCGGGAAUGUGUGCAUGGACAAGGAAGCAGGAAGAUCCCAAGGAAAAAGAAGCAGCAUGAAAAAUGACAAGAAGACUACAACAGAAGUUUCUACGAACUUUGCACACACAGAAGAGGGUUCUUUUAGUUUUAGUCAGGAUAGGAAAAGGACAAAAUAAAAGUGAACAUUUAUUGA
ensembl:lncRNA LINC01543 long intergenic non-protein coding RNA 1543